rnacentral:rRNA from 1 species
AUUGAACGCUAGCGGCAUGCCUUACACAUGCAAGUCGAACGAGUGGCGGACGGGUGAGUAAUAUAUCGGAACGUGCCCAGUAGCGGGGGAUAACUACUCGACACGGUGGCUAAUACCGCCUACUAUCGGAUUUGCCCAGAUGGGAUUAGCUGGUUGGUGGGGUAAAGGCUCACCAAGGCAACGAUCCGUAGCUGGUUUGAGAGGACGACCAGCAAAACUGGGACGGAGAAACGGGCCAGACUCCUACGGGAGGCAGCAGUGGGGAAUUUUGGACAAUGGGGGAAACCCUGAUGCAGCCAUCCCGCGUGUAUGAGAAGGCCUUCGGGUUGUAAAGUAAUUUUGGCAGAGAAGCGGUAUCUGCAGAAUAAGCACCGGCUAACUACGUGCCAGCCGCCGCGGUAAUAC